AGCGAACGCUGGCGGCAGGCCUAACACAUGCAAGUCGAACGAAGCCUUCGGGCUUAGUGGCGGACGGGUGAGUAACACGUGGGAACGUACCUUUAGGUUCGGAACAACUCAGGGAAACUUGAGCUAAUGCCGGAUAAGCCCUUCGGGGGAAAGAUUUAUCGCCUUUAGUGCGGCCCGCGUUAGAUUGGCUAGUUGGUGAGGUAAAGGCUCACCAAGGCUACGAUCUAUAGCUGGUCUGAGAGGAUGAUCAGCCACACUGGGACUGAGACACGGCCCAGACUCCUACGGGAGGCAGCAGUGGGGAAUCUUGCGCAAUGGGCGAAAGCCUGACGCAGCCACGCCGCGUGAAUGAUGAAGGUCUUAGGAUUGUAAAAUUCUUUUACAGGGACGAUAAUGACGGUACCUGGAGAAAAAGCCCCGGCUGACUUCGUGCCAGCCGCCGCAGUAA
rnacentral:rRNA from 1 species